rnacentral:piRNA from 1 species
UUCAUCGACUAUAUUUCAAAA